rnacentral:snoRNA from 1 species
GGAUCAAUGAUGAUACCCCAGGUGCAUUCGUUGGAGUCAAACAAAAUGAGUGAAAACUCAAAACUAUCGCUCUCCUCAUGAAGUUAGC